rnacentral:rRNA from 1 species
GAUGAACGCUGGCGGCGUGCCUAACACAUGCAAGUCGAACGAAGCACCUUACCUGAUUCUUCGGAUGAAAGUUUGGUGACUGAGUGGCGGACGGGUGAGUAACGCGUGGGUAACCUGCCCUGUACAGGGGGAUAACAGCUGGAAACGGCUGCUAAUACCGCAUAAGCGCACGAGGAGACAUCUCCUUGUGUGAAAAACUCCGGUGGUACAGGAUGGGCCCGCGUCUGAUUAGCUGGUUGGCAGGGUAACGGCCUACCAAGGCAACGAUCAGUAGCCGGUCUGAGAGGAUGAACGGCCACAUCGGAACUGAGACACGGUCCAAACUCCUACGGGAGGCAGCAGUGGGGAAUAUUGCACAAUGGGGGAAACCCUGAUGCAGCAACGCCGCGUGAGUGAAGAAGUAUUUCGGUAUGUAAAGCUCUAUCAGCAGGGAAGAUAAUGACGGUACCUGACUAAGAAGCGCCGGCUAAAUACGUG